UACGUAGGGUGCGAGCGUUAAUCGGAAUUACUGGGCGUAAAGCGUGCGCAGGCGGUUUUGUAAGACAGGCGUGAAAUCCCCGAGCUCAACUUGGGAAUUGCGCUUGUGACUGCAAGGCUAGAGUGUGUCAGAGGGGGGUAGAAUUCCACGUGUAGCAGUGAAAUGCGUAGAGAUGUGGAGGAAUACCGAUGGCGAAGGCAGCCCCCUGGGAUGAUACUGACGCUCAUGCACGAAAGCGUGGGGAGCAAACAGG
rnacentral:rRNA from 1 species